rnacentral:rRNA from 1 species
AGCGAACGCUGGCGGCAGGCCUAACACAUGCAAGUCGAACGAAACCUUCGGGUUUAGUGGCGGACGGGUGAGUAACACGUGGGAACGUGCCCUUUGGUUCGGAACAACUCAGGGAAACUUGAGCUAAUACCGGAUGUGCCCUUCGGGGGAAAGAUUUAUCGCCAUUGGAGCGGCCCGCGUAGGAUUAGCUAGUUGGUGGGGUAAUGGCCCACCAAGGCUCCGAUCCUUAGCUGGUCUGAGAGGAUGAUCAGCCACACUGGGACUGAGACACGGCCCAGACUCCUACGGGAGGCAGCAGUGGGGAAUCUUGCGCAAUGGGCGAAAGCCUGACGCAGCCAUGCCGCGUGAAUGAUGAAGGUCUUAGGAUUGUAAAAUUCUUUCACCGGGGACGAUAAUGACGGUACCCGGAGAAGAAGCCCCGGCUAACUUCGUGCCAGCCGCCGCGGUAA